GGUCAAAUUAGCCAGUUAAGAUAGAGUGUAGGUGCUGGGAUGGAAGUAAGUCUCCUGUGGUUCCAGAGUGUGGGAAAUGGUAACAUGACACCAUGGGGGUUGGGGAACACACCAUGGAAAUGAUAUUUGCCAUAGCUGCAUCUUGAGAGAGUGAUUUGCAAAAAAAAUUAUUUUUCAGGAAAAAAAUGAUAAGGCAGGGGUUUGCAUUUUUGAGGAACUACAGAUGACCUCCAGGAGCUGGAAGGCUGAAUUCAAAGAAGAGAUGGAGUUGGGAAAGCAUACAAGCAAGAGAUGCGGCCACUAGCAAGGAUGUUUUAAAAGGGUCUGAAUGUCACUGAAAAAGUCUGGGUAGUAAAGACAGCUGAAGUUUGGUGAACAGACUCAAAGAGUGUCAUGAAGGAAUUGAAGGAGGCACCCUUAGAGACAGAUCAGAUACAAGCUCACUGCAAUAAACCAUGCACCCAUGGCAGUGGAGACAGCGAGAAGGGGGCAAGCUCAAACAUACUUAACAACUUAGAGAGGACGCAAUGGAGACAAUCUACCCUGCACUUGACGGAUGUACAGGCUAAACCACUGAAAUGCACAAACAUCCAUAGAACAAUGGGUCUAUUGUGUUUCUGAAUAUGUCUUACUGGUGAAAGUGAACUUAAUAACAGACCAACAUGUUUAUGCUGGGAGCUCUGAAUCUUAACUUCUGGUUUCACCUGAAUUUUACAAUUGCUUCUUUCACGCCCAGAAAAUAAAUGAGAGGACCCAGCAUGGCUAUUUGGCUCACCUCCUCUUCAUCCUCACUGCCAAUGGUAGGUCACUAUGUGAAGUACCCUUUAGGUUUCAUUAAAAGCUACCCCAGGUUGGAGCAGAAGCCAUUGGCUUGCAUUCUAGCAAAACCGUGAAACCAUGCUUGUCUGUUUUUUUGGAAGGGCCUGGUAGGGAGCUUGCAAAAUGAGUGCUCUGGGUGACCUUUCAGGUCCCCACUCUGCUUUGAGCUAUUUGCAGCCUGCUUGCCAAAGAGGAAGAGAUGGGCCCUGAGGCACUGGCAGGGGAUGGGGAUUUCUCAUUAGCCAAGCUGCAGCUUAGCUCCAGCUUCUGGAGACUGCUGGGAUCUGUGCUGGAUGGUGUCAAGCUGGAUUUGCUCUUGUGCUGCUUGACAUUGCCUCAGAAAAUGAACCACAUCUCAAACGGGGGUUUUAUUUUCCUUUAAAAACUCUCUCUGAGCCUAACAACAGAACGACCCAACGCUCCCUCACUACAACCCCUACCACCACCCCACAGGCCAGUGCACCCUUCCCCUACCUUCCCAAGCAUCUGUUAAUACUUCCCAAAUGCAACUGCUCCAAGUUACAACAAGAUCCUCCUUUAUACUUCAGUAUUGUACUUUUAUGCUAUAUUAAAUAUUCUUAAGCUACACACACACACACACACACACACACACACACCACAUGGUCUUUCAUUUCAUCUCCACCCAACUCCCUGCCAUGACACCAAUUCAGUGUUCAGCUUCUACAAAGAGCAUUCCUGGGUUUUUGGUGCUCUUCUGAGAUGCUGAGCUAUGACAGUCAUUCGUGGUCAUUCUAACAGGGACUUUCCCAUUUAGGUAGUUCUUUCUCAGUGUUCUUUCUUUUUCGAGCCCUUUCCUCCAGGGGAGGCAGGUCAUCCCUACCUGCAGAAUGGAGAAAACCUGACUGGACCACAGCCCAGGUAAAAAUGGCUUCCCCAGUGGCAAAUGGCAGAUGGCAAAGGACCGUGAAACAAAGCCAAGGCCUUUCUCUCCCCCAGAGACUCUCCUACCAUCUUAUUUAUCCACAUUUUCUGUAGAAUUACUUCUGCUGGACUCAUUUCCCCCCUUUAUUCCAAAAUGUCAAUAGUGUCAUUGGGAUGCAGACAGAGGAGCUUUUGUUAUUUUUUUUCCUACCUUUUGUGGAUUUAAAGCAUUCUCAUGUUAAAAUUGUAGGUUUAAGAAUGUAUCAGUACAUUAACUUUUUACACCACCAAAAAUAUCUCCUGCAAAAUUUCAAGUGCAGAAAUGUACCAAGAAAGCUAAAGUCCUAGGUCUUACUAUUCUCCUCUCUCCCAGUCCCUCUCACAUCACUUCUCAGAGGUGACCACCCUCAACCACUUGGUUGUGAACCUCUCAUGCCUUGGUUUCUUACACAUAAGUGAUUUAAGCCAAGUGGGAUUAUACUAUCCACAUAUCUUAAAUUAAUUUUUUAAUAUACCAACAAACCAUAUGCAAGUUCCCACAUCAGUAAAAAUAAAUUACCUUGUUCUUUUUAAAGGCUGAGCAAAAUUCCAUAGUUUGAACAUAAGAAAUUACCUAACCAUUCCCCAACAGAUGGAUUUUUAAAUUAUGUAUUUAACGUAUAUAAUAUAUAUAAUACAUAUAGUAUAUAAUAUAUAAUAGACCUAAUAGUUCCAACAGUUCUAGCUUCUCUUAGUUUUUUUGGUGAAUCAUCAACUCUCCCUCUAAGAACAAUCGUGACUUCUUAAUGUUUAUAAUUCCUAUAUUCCUUUUAAAAAUUUUCAAUCUCACUGCAUGAAUGAGGCUCUGCAGGAUCUGAGGAGUAAGAGGCCAUGAGACUGACUCCUGCUUGUCCCAUACUCCAAUGGAAAAUGCUUUAAAUGCUUCACACCCUUAAGUAGGAAGCUUUAUUCUCGAAUCCUAGUAGAUACGGUUGGACAAGUUAAGGCAGUUCCACCUCUCCAGCCCUACUGUAUUGAAAUAAUGUAUUAAGUUUUCUCCAAUGUUUUUUUUUUUAGCAUCCAUUAAGAUAACCAUGUGGCUCUUCUCCUGUUUGGGUGAAGUGUGAGCUUGGUGUUUUCCAGGGCUGUAUUUGAAAGAUCCCCAGUGAUACCGACAAGAUCAACCCGGUUACACAGACUCUGCAAUUUAUGGGACAUUGUUUCCUUCUUCUAAAAGCAUCUUGAUGAAAGUCACUUCCAGAAGGACCAAGGAGGAUUUCUGGAGGAAAGGGUGGAACAAAGAGCUUAAAAGAAAUCUGGAAAGAGAUUAGAAUGCACCUUCAAACCCAAGGUUGGUCUCCACUUUUGUCACCAAUUAGGUGUGACUAAACCUCCAAAGAGUACAACGGAAAAUAGGAUGUUCCUCUUGCUUUUAUACAUUAACAGGAACUUAGCAGCUCAUGUUCAAUUAGCUGAUUAGGUAACAGUCAUCAGUGAAUGGGGACAGCCGCAGUCUGCC
rnacentral:lncRNA from 1 species